rnacentral:lncRNA from 1 species
CCCUCCACUACUGCCUUUGCCCCAGCUCAGACGCCCGCCUGGCGCAAAGAGCUGGUUGUUGGAGUCGAUCAAUCCAGGCUUGGUGAUUUUCGUUAGCCGGCUGGUGUCAAUAGGCCGGUUGCCCUUGCUGAUGGGCACAGUGUUCCAGCCGUCAUCUGCAACCAGGCUGCUGCGUCCACCGCUGAUGGAUGGUCCAGGAGGUCCUCUCCUUUUGUCUUUUGACAUGAGCUGCUGCACUUUGAUGUGUUCCCGAUGCUCCUCCAUCUCCGCCUCUUUGUGGAUCUGGUCGAUGGUUUUGGGGCCCUGAUCUCCUCGCCGUGGCACCCAGCUAUUCCGCCUGAGAUCAAUCACAUCCUGCAGCAUAAAACGGAUUCGGGAUGAUGUCUUCUUCUCCUUGAUGAUUUUCUCCAUCUGGUUAAAGUACUGGUCCAUUCUGGGCUUGGCCUUCUCAAAG